rnacentral:rRNA from 1 species
AUUGAACGCUGGCGGAAUGCUUUACACAUGCAAGUCGAACGGCAGCACGGGGGCAACCCUGGUGGCGAGUGGCGAACGGGUGAGUAAUACAUCGGAACGUGCCCAGUCGUGGGGGAUAACGUAGCGAAAGUUACGCUAAUACCGCAUACGAUCUACGGAUGAAAGCGGGGGACCGUAAGGCCUCGCGCGAUUGGAACGGCCGAUGUCAGAUUAGGUAGUUGGUGAGGUAAAGGCUCACCAAGCCGACGAUCUGUAGCUGGUCUGAGAGGACGACCAGCCACACUGGGACUGAGACACGGCCCAGACUCCUACGGGAGGCAGCAGUGGGGAAUUUUGGACAAUGGGCGCAAGCCUGAUCCAGCCAUUCCGCGUGCAGGACGAAGGCCUUCGGGUUGUAAACUGCUUUUGUACGGAACGAAAAGGCUCUGGUUAAUACCUGGGGCUCAUGACGGUACCGUAAGAAUAAGCACCGGCUAACUACGUGCCAGCAGCCGCGGUAA